rnacentral:rRNA from 1 species
AGUAACGCGUAGGUAACCUGCCUCAUAGCGGGGGAUAACUAUUGGAAACGAUAGCUAAUACCGCAUAAGAGUAAUUAACACAUGUUAGUUAUUUAAAAGGAGCAAUUGCUUCACUGUGAGAUGGACCUGCGUUGUAUUAGCUAGUUGGUGAGGUAAAGGCUCACCAAGGCGACGAUACAUAGCCGACCUGAGAGGGUGAUCGGCCACACUGGGACUGAGACACGGCCCAGACUCCUACGGGAGGCAGCAGUC